UUAGUCCUAACCUUACCGUUAAUUCUUGCUAAACAUAUACAUGCAAGUAUCCGCGCUCCAGUGUAAAUGCCCUCGGCGCCUUACUAAGACCCGAGGAGCGGGCAUCAGGCACACCCACAGUCGUAGCCCAAGACGCCUUGCUCAGCCACACCCCCACGGGCACUCAGCAGUAAUUAACAUUAAGCAAUAAGUGUAAACUCGACUUAGUUAUAGCAAUUCCUAGGGUUGGUCAAUCUUGUGCCAGCCACCGCGGUCACACAAGAAACCCAAAUUAACCGUAAUACGGCGUAAAGCGUGACAUUAUGUUAUCUCUCUAAACUAGGAUCAAAAUACAACUAAGCUGUCAUAAGCCCAUGAUGUACCCAAAAUCAACCUGAAAACGAUCCUAGCCUCAACGAUCUAUUAACCGUCACGAAAGCUAGAAUACAAACUGGGAUUAGAUACCCCACUAUGCCUAGCCCUAAAUCUUGAUACUUCCCCCACUAAAGUAUUCGCCCGAGAACUACGAGCACAAACGCUUAAAACUCUAAGGACUUGGCGGUGCCCCAAACCCACCUAGAGGAGCCUGUUCUGUAAUCGAUAACCCACGAUACACCCGACCACUUCUUGCCAAAGCAGCCUACAUACCGCCGUCGCCAGUUCACCUCCCCUGAGAGAGCAACAGUGAACAUAAUAGCCCCACCCGCUAAUAAGACAGGUCAAGGUAUAGCCUAUGGAGUGGAAGAAAUGGGCUACAUUUUCUAGAAUAGAAAACCACGGAAAGAGAUAUGAAACCACCUCUGGAAGGCGGAUUUAGCAGUAAAGAAGGAUAAUAAAGCCACCUUUAAACUGGCUCUGGGGCACGUACAUACCGCCCGUCACCCUCCUCAAAAGCUACAACUCCCAACAUACCUAAUUUCCUAAUUAGCUAAAGAUGAGGUAAGUCGUAACAAGGUAAGUGUACCGGAAGGUGUACUUAGCAUACCAAGACGUAGCUAUAACAAAAGCAUUCAGC
rnacentral:ncRNA from 1 species